AUGAACCACAUGAGUCUGAGACUACUAUUAGUGUGCUGCAGUCUGAGGUCCAUUGCAGCCACAGUGAUGCUGAUGUGUUAUCUGUGUUCCCCAGGUGUCCAUGGCAUCAGUCUGGCCUCGUCUCCAGACCAGCUCAGGUCUCCUGGUGCCUCGGUGAAGAUCUCCUGCCAGGUGUCUGGUUAUGCCCUCACUGACUACGGCACGGGCUGGAUCCAACAGCCUCCAGGCAAAGCCAUGCAGUGGAUUGGGAUCAUGUGGGGUGGAGGCUCCUUUGACUACGCCGACUCCUUCAAGAGGCGCUUUAGCAUCAGCAGAGACAGCAGCAAUGUGCUCUACUUGGACAUCAGCAGCCUGCAGCCUGAGGACUCAGCAGUGUACUAUUGUGCCAAGACACACAGUGCAGCAGCUCAGUGGAGGAGCUGAACAAAAUCCCCAGACGGAGACACUCACACUCACACUCUGCACCCGAGACCACAGCCAUGGACACAGUUGACCACAUGGGGGCAGCGCAGGCACAGGAUUUAACAGACCC